rnacentral:sRNA from 1 species
AGGAAGAACUGGAAAAUGGAGAAGAUGUCGCCAAGUGUCCAAGUUGUUCAUUACUUAUUAAAGUUGUAUAUGAUCUGGACAUGUUUAUGGUUAGUGAAAAAGUUCCAGCUUUAAAAAAUUCAGAAUUGGCUGUUGCUUAGGAUAUGUGCAUAUAUUUAUACACUUUUUGGGUUUUCACACAACAAGAUUGCAUCUCUACAGUGAAUUCGUUUUCAAUCUUUCAACAACCUCAUUGCUCCUGUGAAUGAAAGCAACAUUUCAGUGGUUAUGCUAGAAUGAAUGUUGACUGUAAAGUGUUUACUUCUUACGAUUGGUCAAAUGCAGGCCACAAGUUUCACUUCAAGAAUUUCAGAUUGACACUUGUGGUGUCCGAAUAUUAACUUGAAGUGCAUGUUUGUAAGAUUGAAAAACAUGUAGAAAAUAUUAUUGGAUAAAAAUAUACCGGUAUUUGAUAUUGUGUAAAUAUAAAUCUGUUCAAAGUAUCCAA